UACGUAGGGGGCAAGCGUUGUCCGGAAUCAUUGGGCGUAAAGCGCGUGUAGGCGGUUCGGUAAGUCUGCUGUGAAAGUCCAGGGCUCAACCCUGGGAUGCCGGUGGAUACUGUCGGACUAGAGUACGGAAGAGGCGAGUGGAAUUCCCGGUGUAGCGGUGAAAUGCGCAGAUAUCGGGAGGAACACCAAUUGCGAAGGCAGCCCCCUGGGUCGAUACUGACGCUCAUGCACGAAAGCGUGGGUAGCAAACAGG
rnacentral:rRNA from 1 species